CAGAAACCUCAUAGUCAACGUUGGACUUUUUGCUGCCGGAGUCUGGGUAGCCCGAAACUUAACAGACAUUGAUUUGAUGUCUCCUCCACCAGUUGCAUAGCAAUUACCAUUGUGAAUAAAUUGUACCUGCAUCAAGUCUGAAGAGGUUCCAAUCCCAGUGUGACCAUGACCAAAUGAAGAGUUGUGUGGUGUAUGUUGCUUUUGUUCUAGGUACCUGAAAGUUCAACAGCAGCUCUAAAAUAGUAUUUCAAUUCAAGCAUAGCUAUCAUUCCAUAGUGAAGAGUGAUAAGUGAGAAACUAUUUAACUCUUGAGAUGUUUGCUGUAUGUUCAGUUCACUCAACUGAGCUCAGUGUAUUAUUCAGUUAUAUUUUCAAGACUUGUGAAGCUGCUAUAUGUUGAGCUUAAUUCUGUAUGUCUAUGUAAAGUGUGUGAAAUAAUGACAUUCUACUGCACUGAUUUUUAUUCUUUUAAUAGGAAACUUCAGUUUACAAAACAAGGUGUAAAAAAGAGUAAAGAUUUACAAAAAUCAUAAAAA